rnacentral:rRNA from 1 species
UUUUAUGGAGAGUUUGAUCCUGGCUCAGGACGAACGCUGGCGGCGUGCCUAAUACAUGCAAGUCGAGCGGACUGAUGGGAGCUUGCUCCCUGAUGUUAGCGGCGGACGGGUGAGUAACACGUGGGCAACCUGCCUGUAAGACUGGGAUAACUCCGGGAAACCGGGGCUAAUACCGGAUAACCCGUUCCACCUCAUGGUGGAGCGGU